GAUGAACGCUGGCGGCGUGCCUAAUACAUGCAAGUCGAGCGAACAGACGAGGAGCUUGCUCCUCUGACGUUAGCGGCGGACUGGUGAGUAACACGUGGAUAACCUACCUAUAAGACUGGGAUAACUUCGGGAAACCGGAGCUAAGACCGGAUAAUAUAUUGAACCGCAUGGUUCAAUAGUGAAAGACGGGUUUGCUGUCACUUAUAGAUGGAUCCGCGCCGCAUUAGCUAGUUGGUAAGGUAACGGUUUACCAAGGCAACGAUGCGUAGCCGACCUGGGAGGGUGAGCGGCCACACUGGAACUGAGACACGGUCCAGACUCCUACGGGAGGCAGCAGUAGGGAAUCUUCCGCAAUGGGCGAAAGCCUGACGGAGCAACGCCGCGUGAGUGAUGAAGGUCUUCGGAUCGUAAAACUCUGUUAUUAGGGAAGAACAAAUGUGUAAGUAACUAUGCACGUCUUGACGGUACCUAAUCAGAAAGCCACGGCUAACUACGUG
rnacentral:rRNA from 1 species